CAGUAAAUAUUUUAAAUAAAAAUUUUAAUUUUGGAGAUUAAUGAUGGGUUUGCACUCUUUACUGA
rnacentral:tRNA from 1 species